GGGCGCGAUUCACAUCUCAACCGAAAUAUUUGUAAAGCGAUACGAACGAGUUACGAGAUGAAAUCCGCAAUGUUCAAAAACGCGAUUCAUAACACACAUACUUUGAUCUCGUUUUCAUAUCGCUAGUUCGUAUUGGGAUGGCUUGAGUGAAAUGAAUGAAACUAUAUUUUUUUAAUUGCCAUGCAAAAAUUAUAAAUACUACCACUAAUUGUUUUAAAUAAUUUUGUUCCUACAAUAUAUUUUGUUGGAAUUAGUGUCGAUAGCAAGUAUCAAGAAACGGCUUUUUAAUUCAACGUUGAAGAAAUUCAUAACCCGUGGCACUUUUGACAGCCGCCAUGUUUUCUACAUAAAAACAUUGAUUUUCUUUGCUCAUUUUCGUAUCAACGUAGUUUUUUUGGAAAAUAAGAAGAAAGGAAGUUUAACUAACUUAGAGAAAUACGACUGAGACAUAAUCAUGAACGAGAUGAACACAAGCAGCAGCCGAUGUGCUUGAGUUGCAGAUGGAGCAAGUGCGUUAUGAGAGGGCCACGGCUUCAGCCCUCACAAUGAAUAGCUGAAGCAAUGAACAGACAGGCUGCAGUCAAUGAGAGGCUUCUUGAGCAGGGGCUCCUCAUAUGGAAAAAGGCUAAUGAAAGGAACAAUCAAGACUGGCGGUGCGCGGGAGGAUCCCGUCCCUGCGCCUGGCCUUCAAUGGCCUCACGCCUCUCUUCUUCCUCUUCUUCAUGCGUCAAUUCAAACAGAGGAGCACCUGUGAUUACUGAUUACCUAAGUUCCUAUAUACAAUAAUAGUUUAAUAAUUGUUAACAAAAUAUUGUAUUAUAUAAGUAUUAAUAACUAUACACAAGGCUAAAAGCAUUUUGUAACAGUCAACCUAUAAGAGAGAAUAUGAGAAAAAAUAAGACAAUUUAAUCUUUGAUUGCCAUUAUCUGUAGCUUUAUUAAGUGGUAAAGGGACCUAAUAUAUGUAUUUGUGAUAAUUCAUAGAAUUUAUUAGUUCUAUCAAUAAAUAAAAUAGACAUGCA